AAGGGAAUGACGCACGUUACGUUCUUCCCAGUUUAACUUGCCCAUGCAAGCGAUCACCAUUGCUGAAGAUACAUGUUGAGAACAGUCCAGUGAUCGCACUGUUUGUCUAUUAUCAGAAUAAAUCAGCUCAACUG